rnacentral:rRNA from 1 species
AGUGAACGCUGGCGAUAGGCCUAACACAUGCAAGUCGAACGGCAGCACAGUAAGAGCUUGCUCUUACGGGUGGCGAGUGGCGGACGGGUGAGGAAUACAUCGGAAUCUACUUUUUCGUGGGGGAUAACGGAGGGAAACUUACGCUAAUACCGCAUACGACCUACGGGUGAAAGCAGGGGAUCUUCGGACCUUGCGCGAUUGAAUGAGCCGAUGUCGGAUUAGCUAGUUGGCAGGGUAAAGGCCCACCAAGGCGACGAUGCGUAGCUGGUCUGAGAGGAUGAUCAGCCACACUGGAACUGAGACACGGUCCAGACUCCUACGGGAGGCAGCAGUGGGGAAUAUUGGACAAUGGGCGCAAGCCUGAUCCAGCCAUACCGCGUGGGUGAAGAAGGCCUUCGGGUUGUAAAGCCCUUUUGUUGGGAAAGAAAAGCAGCAGGUGAAUACCCCGCUGUUCUGACGGUACCCAAAGAAUAAGCACCGGCUAACUUCGUG